CCUUUUAAGCCCCCUAAACUCAUUUGAGAUGCAUCUUUCAAAGUCCCUGAGAUAUCUUCUUCUUAACAUAGUAGCGAAGAUGAUAGGUAACUGGGCACUAUUAUACAUGACCCUAUGCAUGAUGGGAUGCUAAUUGCUUCAUUAACUCAGGAACCACACCUGUGUGGAAGGAAGCACCUGCUUUCAAUAUACUUUCUAUCCCUCGUUUACACAAGUGUUUCCUUUAUUUUGUCAGUUCCCUGUGCAUCCAGCAACUCCCUGGCCUAUAGGUUCUUUAAGCUUGUCUUAAGUAGCUAGACACAGGCAGAGCACACAUGGUUUAUAGCGUCCAACACACACACACGGUUGCCAGCUUACAAUCAGAGGGAAGGCUGAAGGAGGAUGGAAGGGGGAAAGAGAGAAAGGGAUCAGGCUUGUCAAUGACAAGACGACGAGUAGGGAGUUGGCUAACUCUCAUGAACAAGCACUACUGAAUUACUCCAACAGUAGUAAUCAUGUCGGCUCGAGAUUUUUCUACUUGACGUUGGUAGUUAUUAAGUACUCAAAGCACUACAGCGUUACUACACAGGCUUGUUAGUAGUAAUCAGGUCGGCUCGAGAUUUUUCUACUUGACGUUGGUAGUUAAUAAGUACUCAAAGCACUACAGCUUUAGUACACAGGCUUUCCAACAGGCAUCAGGUAGAGUUUUUAUUACCCAACUCGUAACACCACAGCCAGACUACACCGACUUUUCGGGACUGCAGAAGAAGACAAAACAGGAAGUAGUUGGUUGUGCGUUACUGUUUACUGUUUUUGACAAUCCCGAAUGCAAUCACCUUCCAUCCUCCGUCAUCCUGUCUUUCAUAGACCUUACGCUGGCACCAUCUGAAAAACAGCUGCGCAGUAGUCGUCGUUCUGCCACUGUGGGGACUAUACACCCCGGGAAAAGAUGCUGCUGUGUUUGUAGGCAUCUCACCUGACAAGCCUGCUGUCACCGUUCCCUGUCACUCCCAUCGCUCAGGCUGACACGCACAAUGCAAUCUGCCUGUUAUUCAUGUGAGACAGGCCUCUGAACAACAAAGGCACAGUAAUCACGGGGCUCCCGAGUGGCGCAGCGGGCUAAGGAACUGCGUCUCGGUGCUUGAGGUGUCACUACAGACACCCUACUUCGAUUCCAGGCUGGAUCAUAACUGGCCGUGAUUGGGAGUCCCGCAGGGCGGCGACACAAUUGGCCCAGUGUUGUCCGGGUUAGGCCGAGUCCUGAUUGACUACUGCAGCUGUGGCUGUGCUUCUCGCUAUGGUCGGACAGACAGACAGACAGACAGGCAGACAGACCAGGGGAACCCAACCACACACAGAGGUGAGAGACACUUGACUUUGGGAGGCAUUACAAGUCCUUUCGAUUUUCCUUUAUAGUUUCUUGUCAGCAGAUGAAGCCAUACCACUGACCUUACCAUGAGAAAACACCAUAGAAGACAUUUAUGUUUUUGUGUCCAUUUGCAUUGAGCUCACACACUCUCCUAUAGAAAGCACACACUCUCCUAUAGAAAGCACACACUCUCAAAUGCGCUCUCGCACUCACAAACUCUUGUUUGAUCAUGUGGCACACACUCCUUUCUGGCCAAAACUAAACUAAAUUGAAAGCUAUGAGUCAGUAAGAGUUUACACACACACACACACACACACACACACACACACACACACACACACACACACACACACACACACACACACACACACACACACACACACACACACACACACACACACACACACACACACACACACACACACACACACACACACUCACCA